UACGUAGGGCGCAAGCGUUGUCCGGAAUUAUUGGGCGUAAAGAGCUCGUAGGUGGCGUGUCGCGUCUGCCGUGAAAGCCUAUGGCUUAACUGUGGGUCUGCGGUGGAUACGGGCAGGCUGGAGGCUGGUAGGGGCAAGCGGAAUUCCUGGUGUAGCGGUGAGAUGCGCAGAUAUCGAGAGGAACACCAGUGGCGAAGGCGAGUCUCUGGACAUUUCCUGACGCUGAGGCACGAAAGCCAGGGGAGCAAACGGG
rnacentral:rRNA from 1 species